UCAUACAGCGCUUCAAAAACUUGCAAAUAGAACAAAAUAAUGCUCAAACUAAGCAAAGCUUGACUUGUGAUGUGCAUGAAAACAGAACAUUAUGAUCAUAAUCCAAGUUUUAUUUGCAUGUAAGGGCUGGGGUAAAAAAAAAAUAAUAAAAAAAACAAAAAACCUAAUUUAAAAUUACUCGGCUAAAUCGACCCAAAAUUCGUCUGGAACUUUAUUUUGGUCCACCGGAAACAGUGUUUCACACGGACAUUUAUCGCUGACGGUUGCAGUGUUGUCGCAUUGAUCAACUUUGCCAAAAAUGAGAGUGGCGCGUCUAUUCAAAGUGAGAGCAUGCCGUCCCCGCCACGAGGCUUCACUGCAGUCAAGUACUACACCGCCUCAAGUCUGGAACAGAUGGACAACACCUGACGCUGGAUUUCUGCCCUGCCUUUUGCUGCAACUGUCUUCAGUUCCUCGUUGUCUUUGGGGGAUUGGUUCCUUCCCUCUGGUCUCAAGCACGUGAAGUGCAUGCUCCGUCGGAUUCAGGUCAGGUGAUAUACUUGGCCACGCAUUUGUAUGUAUACGUGUAUGUUUCCGUCUUAGCGAGGGGGCCCCAGAUGUUAUUUUUGUGCGACUCACGGCAUCAGCACGGUCGGCGUGCGACAAGAAGCACACUUCGGGCUUCCACGACGACAGCAGCGAGCCCACAAUGGCUGAGAUGAAGUCGAAUUCUAUCACGACUGUGUACACACACUGACUCGCAGACUGUGGUCUAAGCCGUUCGGCUUGUUAGUUCUUCGUGUGCUUUGUUUUUCCGCCCCUGCAUUUGCAGCCCGCAUGAGUCACAAAGUCAAAUUAAUAUUUUCACUCCUUUGGAUGGGAGGCUGUAUGACAGCAAAUGGAAUAUGAGCUGAUGCUCAGUGUUUUUACAGGAAUGAAAAAGAAUUGCAGAGUUCAUCUUUUUUACUUGAGAGGAAAAGAUGUGCCUUAAAAGGUCGCCGUCAAUUUUUGCAGGUUCCAGAAUACUUUUACAUAGAAAAAAAAAAAAAUUCUUCCGAUGCCCGCUGAGCAACGUCGACGUCGACUUUAAAGGUUGCAUUGCGUAUUAUUAUUAUUUUUUUAUUCACAGAAAUAUGCCUAACGUGUUUUGACAGGAUGCAUUUCCGGCUCAUACAAUUUGUCGCCUCAUCCCCGAGAAUUAUGCGACAGAAUUAAACGAGAUGCAUUUCAUCUGGGUUUACCAGAAUGACAUUAUUAGACAUCGCAUUUAUAUGCGCUCCUUGCAACGGAGUCAGAGGGAAAACUCACAAUUUCGCUGAUGUGCAUGAUCGAGGAUAACCCAAAGCAGCAAUUUACUUUAUUAUAGACAGUCUUUAAAAAAGAUUGACAGACCGUGGAUGUAUUUUGUGUGGUCUGUCACCUCUGUGCUAGAUUUUCUGUAUAAAAUGUAAGAUUGCUGAAGUUUUGAGGCAACUGAGGCAAAUGGAGUGCACUACUCGGUAGUAACAUGUCUCAAUUACAGUAAAGCCUCGGUUCUCGAACGUCCCCGUUUUCGAACAAAUCGGUUUUGGAUCGAAAGAUUUUUUUGCUUCUGUUAUCGAACGAAAAUCGGUACUCGAAAAAAACCCCGAAAAUAACUCUGCGCAGCCAGAGCACCUGACCCACGACACGCUUUGUUGUGAAUUCCCACGCCGCCAAAAAAACCUGGAAAUAACAUAAUGCGUGCGGCGCAACCAGCGCACUUUUGUUAUUAUGUAUAACACAGCCUCUGUACACAGACCUGUCCCGAUAGUGUUUUUCUUCUUAUCAAGGACCACCGUAUCAACCCCCAAUCAUGGCUCCAAAGAAGGCAACUUGCUUGUUUAAAGUUAUUCUGCACUUUUGUUUAAAAAAAAAAAAAAAGUUUACAAGGCUAGGGGCCGAGUCGCUACAGAUACGGCAAUGCACUCCCGGCCUAGCGUACGCUACUUCUAAAGCAUACAUUUUAUGUAAAAAAUAAAUAGAUUUCCUAGGUUACUUUAUUAUAUAAAUUAUUUAAAUUAUACAUGUAUUUCUACUAUGCAGUUUAUUAUCAAGAAAGCUAAAAAAAAAUGCUUUAAAUAGCCCAAUUUUUUAGGCUUGUAACACAUUAUUUCUUUUUCCAUUCAUUGUAAUGGGAAACAUCGAUUCGGGUCUUGAACCAAUGACUUCUUAAACCGUUUUCUGGAACAGAUUGUGGUCGAGAACCAAGGCAUCACUGUAGUUUGCUGGCUAAAGCAGUUUUUCUCAAACAUUGUAUAAAAAAAAGGAAUGAUAAUAAAAUAACUAACCCAACCUCACCUUAUGACUUAGUCCUAACCACUAGUAGUAACAUUUUGAACCAUCCAGAUAGAGAUAGACAACAGUCACACUCACAAUGAGAACCAAUUUAAUUUAUAUUAUCCUAACGAUAUUAAUAAUAAUGGAAUAAUUAUGAAUAAUAAUUUAGAAUAAUAUAUCACAAUUUAGAU